GACGAACGCUGGCGGCGUGCUUAACACAUGCAAGUCGAACGGAAAGGCCCUGCUUUUGCGGGGUGCUCGAGUGGCGAACGGGUGAGUAACACGUGAGUAACCUGCCCUUGACUUUGGGAUAACUUCAGGAAACUGGGGCUAAUACCGGAUAGGAGCUCCUGCUGCAUGGUGGGGGUUGGAAAGUUUCGGCGGUUGGGGAUGGACUCGCGGCUUAUCAGCUUGUUGGUGGGGUAGUGGCUUACCAAGGCUUUGACGGGUAGCCGGCCUGAGAGGGUGACCGGCCCCAUUUUGACUGUGAUACGGCCCAGACUCCUACGGGAGGCAGCAGUGGGGAAUAUUGCACAAUGGGCGGAAGCCUGAUGCAGCAACGCCGCGUGCGGGAUGACGGCCUUCGGGUUGUAAACCGCUUUCGCCUGUGACGAAGCGUGAGUGACGGUAAUGGGUAAAGAAGCACCGGCUAACUACGUG
rnacentral:rRNA from 1 species